CACAUAUAGUCCAGUUAAAGGUGGAGUUGUGCUUAUUGAGAAUAAUUCACCCUGUAAAAUAAUAAGUAUUGGUAUCAUUCUGAUCAGGAUGCACAACGGGAUUAUCAAAACACUAUCAAAUGUCAAUCAUGUGCCUGAUUUAAAGAAAAGCCUCACCUCCUUGGGUAUUUUAGACUUGCAUAGUUGUAGGAUCGUCAUCGAGUCAAGCGACAUUAAGGAAUCUUGUGAAGCUCUCGUUUUGAUGAAAUGGCAGAAAAUUGACAGUCUAUAUAUUCUAUAGGGUUCAAUAGUGACUAGUGUAGCAGCAAUUACGGAGGUGGAGCUAAGAUAGUCGCGAUGAGGGACGUCGCAACGAAUUUUAUCUAUUACGGAUUUGGAGUCAACUUAUUUGUGGCAUAUGCAACUUGGUCAUAUAAGUGAGAAAGGUAUGACCGUUUUAAAUGAGAGAGGUUUUCUUUCGGGAGUAAGAGUUGGAAAGUUAUAAUUUUGCAUUUAUAGGAAGCAAACAUGAGUCAACUUAGUUCUGUAGAGUAUAGGACAAAGGCCACACUUGACUACAUUCACUCCGAUUUAUAGGGUCUAGCUCAAGUCACCUCUAAAAGAGAUAGCAGAUAUCUCCUAACCUUUAUUGAUGACCAUUCUAGGAAGGUUUGGGUCUAUUUCAUGAAGCACAACAAUAAAGUUUUUGGGAUUUUUAAAUAGUGGAAAACUUUACUGGAGAAAUGGAAUAUGAAGUUUUUAAAGCAGUUAAGGACGGGUAAUGGCCUCGACUUUUACGCACCUCAGGUUAAAGACUAUUGCAAGUAGGAAGGAAUUGAUUGACAUAGCACAAUUGUCGGUACCCCACAAUAGAAUGGUGUUGAAAAAAGGAUUAACAGAACUCUACUUGAGAGAGCUCAGUGUAUGCUUUUUAAUGCAAGUUGAGGAUAGGGGUGAGCAUUCGAUCGAAUCGAAUCGAAUCGAAUCAAAAAUUUUCGAGUUAAUCGAGUUUUCGAAUCUCAUUUUAUCAUCCUAACUUUAUUUGAAGUUUUCUCGAAUCGAAUCGACUGAGAUGGAAUUCGAAUCGAAUCGAAUCGAACAUAUUUGUUCGAGUUAAAUUUUAAAAAAUAAUUUUGAGUCCUUGUAACCAUUGUCACCCAUCGUAAUAAAAUUUGUCCACCUUAAUCAAAUUUUUUAUUAACUUUCAUCACCUCAUAAUUUAUUUAUUAUUUUUUAUAUAUUGGUUAGCUUCUUUGCUUGCUUAGUUGUUUCAAUUAUCUUCAGAUUCUUGUCACUAUGUAUUUUGGAAUUAAAAAAUAUAUUAAAUGUAUAAAUAUGAUUUUUUAAUAAAAGUUAUUUUAAAAAUAAAAUGUGAAAUCGAUACCAAUAUAAAAUUUUAACACGAAUAUUUUAUGGCAUAAUUAAUAAUUCAAUUUUAAUAUAAAUAUUCAAUAUGACUAAACAAUUCAAUAAUAUAAAUAAUAUAAAAUAUGAAAUUUAAUUUAAUAAUAUAAAUAAUAGAUAUAAAUAAAAUUAUUACUAUUUAUGUUUAGUGAUUUUUUUUUGGAUAAUUUUGAUUUUUUAUUUAAGAGUAAAGGGUGAUAAGUAAAAGUUUUAGGGGAAAAUAAAAAGUUUUGAGGAAUAGAAGUUUGAGGGAAAGUAAAUAGGGGAGUAAAAUUUUGGAGGGAAAGUAUUAAAAAAAAUUGGAGUGAGGAUUUGGGGUAGAUGGGAGGUGGGAUGGGAAGGGAAUAAAAGUUUUAGGGGAAAAAUGGGAGGGAGUAAAAAUUUUAGGGGAAAAUAAAAAGUUUUGAGGGUUUUUGGGAGUAAAAUUUUGAGAAAAAGUAAAUAGAAGAGUAAAAUUUUGGUCGGAAAUGGAUUUUGGGUAGAUUGGGGGGUUGGGAGGGGAGGGGAGUAAAAGUUUUGGGGAGAAAGUGGAAAUGAGUAAAAGUUUUGAGGGAAAAGUAAAAAAAGUCUGGGAGUUUAGAGUAAAAAUGUAAAAUAUUAUAGUUUGAUAUUCGAAUUAUUCGAGUUAUUCGAAUUCGAAAACUCAACUCGAUUCGAACUCGAAAUUUGAAAAAAAAAUUCGAGUUGAUUCGAAUAACUCGAUUAACUCGAAAUUUAAAUUUUUUUUCGAUUUUUUCGAGUCAAAUCAAGUUUUGCUCACCCCUAGUUGAGGAAAGUAGUUUUAACGUUUUUUAAUGGUGUCGAACAUUUAUUCCUUCAAUUUAGCUGCUUGGUGUCUCUUAUUACACAAGACUUACAAAUUUAUCAUACAACUUCUCUUUUCUCGGUAUACACAUAAAUAGUUAAAGUUAGUCUCAAUUUCACUAUCUCACCAACCAAAUGUUUAAUCAUUUCCGGAUCAAUCAUUUAUUCAAUAAUUUCACAUUUAGAACAUACCACUUUAUAUCUAAUUUAUGACAAAACAUAUCCAUUAACAUAUCUUGUUAUUACAAUUUAUGACUCAGAUAUUCAAGAUUCCAACUAACCACACCACACGUUUUGCACUAAUUAUGCAUCCAACCUAACACACUAAACAUAUAAGGGACCAAGGUAUUCCAACGUGCUAUGCCAUAACACAUCAUAUUGUCAUUCAAAAGCACACAUACUAAUCCCUAUGGUAUGCUAAUUGCAUCCUAACUAUUCUACUGCUUACAUACUCCCCACCACUUUCCCUUUUCUUAACACCAAAAUAUGAACAUAAAUAUCAAUAUAUAAGCUCAAAAAGCUUUCUCAUCCAAAUAACCUUAAGAUAUCACUUAAGAGAUAUUGAAAAUAUCAUUACUAACCUACUUUGAAGCUUUUUCUCUCUAGUUUAACUUUCUCUCACUGAACCCAUGAAACCGUAGGUUUGAAUGAAAGAGAUGGUGAUGAGAAUGAGUUUAGAAAUUGGUUUGCUACUUGACUUUUUAGAGAAAUCAAAGUUUGGAGAUUGAAAUUUGGGUUGGAUUUGAAGAGAAAUGAGAAAAAUGGAAAAGAGCAUAUUCUUUCCCUUAGAGAAGGGAGGGUUUGCUAAAAUGGGUGGAAGACAACUUUUUGUAAUCUUUCCUCCCUUAUUUUAUUU
rnacentral:lncRNA from 1 species